UUGAUCUGAAUGUUUCAUCAUUCACACUUGAAGACUGGAGCAGAUUUGACUGUGUGUUUCAUCUCUCUGAUGGUGAGGACGUCAUCAUCACCAGGCUGAAUGAAACAGUGAUCAGAACCAACAGAGGAGGAAAAAAUACAAAUGAGGAACCCUCAGACAUGAUGAUCACCAUCACUGCUGCAGUGGUUGUUUCAGUUGCUCUCGUCCUCGUUGCUGCUGUUUGUGGUGCUGUUUACAAGAAGAAGAAAGCUCGAGACAAUGCCUGUGAUCUCUCUACAAGACUGAAUUCAGAGCCCUCAUAGACAAACACAGCACAUGAUGGACAAAUACAGACAUCUUCACCUACAUAAUAAAAAGAG